rnacentral:rRNA from 1 species
GAUGAACGCUAGCUACAGGCUUAACACAUGCAAGUCGAGGGGUAACGAGAGGAAAGCUUGCUUUCCUUGUCGACGACCGGCGCACGGGUGAGUAACGCGUAUCCAACCUGCCCCCAACUAAGGAAUAACCUUGCGAAAGUAAGACUAAUACCUUAUAAUUUCCUCAGAUGACAUCUGACGAGGAAUAAAGAUUUAUCGGUUGUGGAUGGGGAUGCGUCUGAUUAGCUUGUUGGCGGGGUAACGGCCCACCAAGGCAACGAUCAGUAGGGGUUCUGAGAGGAAGGUCCCCCACAUUGGAACUGAGACACGGUCCAAACUCCUACGGGAGGCAGCAGUGAGGAAUAUUGGUCAAUGGGCGAAAGCCUGAACCAGCCAAGUAGCGUGCAGGAUGACGGCCCUAUGGGUUGUAAACUGCUUUUAUACAGGAAUAAAGUUAGCCACGUGUGGUUAUUUGUAGGUACUGUAUGAAUAAGGACCGGCUAAUUCCGUGCCAGCCGCCGCGGUAA